rnacentral:rRNA from 1 species
GUACGCUAUUCAGAGUUUGAUCCUGGCUCAGGACGAACGCUGGCGGCGUGCUUAACACAUGCAAGUCGAACGGAACUCUUUGGAUCGAGACUUCGGUCAAGUGAAUCUGAGUUUAGUGGCGGACGGGUGAGUAACGCGUGAGGAACCUGCCUUUCAGAGGGGGACAACAGUUGGAAACGACUGCUAAUACCGCAUAACGCAUAUUGAUCGCAUGGUCGAUAUGCCAAAGAUUUAUCGCUGAAAGAUGGCCUCGCGUCUGAUUAGCUAGUUGGUGAGGUAACGGCCCACCAAGGCGACGAUCAGUAGCCGGACUGAGAGGUUGACCGGCCACAUUGGGACUGAGAUACGGCCCAG